rnacentral:other from 1 species
ACUACCCUACUCUGUGCGUGUUGCACCUGAAGUUUUGAGCCAACAUUUUUUGAAAGGGAGUCCGACUCAACGCAAGGGAAUGUAGACCUUACAUAGUAUAAGGAAACAGGAAUCUGCGGGAGGGCACCCACCUGUUGGAGAACAGGUUCAAAAAACUUUGGGCUUAUACACGGCAUGGUGGGGUUAUC